rnacentral:rRNA from 1 species
AACGAACGCUGGCGGCAUGCCUAACACAUGCAAGUCGAACGAGACCUUCGGGUCUAGUGGCGCACGGGUGCGUAACGCGUGGGAACCUGCCCUUAGGUUCGGAAUAACUCCCCGAAAGGGGUGCUAAUACCGGAUAAUGUCUUCGGACCAAAGAUUUAUCGCCUUUGGAUGGGCCCGCGUUGGAUUAGCUAGUUGGUAGGGUAAAAGCCUACCAAGGCGACGAUCCAUAGCUGGUCUGAGAGGAUGAUCAGCCACACUGGGACUGAGACACGGCCCAGACUCCUACGGGAGGCGGCAGUGGGGAAUAUUGGAAAAGGGGCAAAAGCCUGAUCCAGCAAUGCCGGGUGGGUGAUGAAGGCCUUAGGGUUGUAAAGCCCUUUUCCCCGGGAUGAUAAUGACAGUACCGGGAAAAUAAGCCCCGGCUAACCCCGU